rnacentral:rRNA from 1 species
GACGAACGCUGGCGGCGUGCUUAACACAUGCAAGUCGAACGGAAAGGCCCUGCUUUUGUGGGGUGCUCGAGUGGCGAACGGGUGAGUAACACGUGAGUAACCUGCCCUUGACUUUGGGAUAACUUCAGGAAACUGGGGCUAAUACCGGAUAGGAGCUCCUGCUGCAUGGUGGGGGUUGGAAAGUUUCGGCGGUUGGGGAUGGACUCGCGGCUUAUCAGCUUGUUGGUGGGGUAGUGGCUUACCAAGGCUUUCACGGGUAGCCGGCCUGAGAGGGUGACCGGCCACAUUGGGACUGAGAUACGGCCCAGACUCCUACGGGAGGCAGCAGUGGGGAAUAUUGCACAAUGGGCGGAAGCCUGAUGCAGCAACGCCGCGUGCGGGAGGACGGCCUUCGGGUGGUAAACCGCUUUCGCCUGUGACGAAGCGUGAGUGACGGUAAUGGGUAAAGAAGCACUGGCUAACUACGU